rnacentral:tRNA from 1 species
GGUCUGUUCGUCUAGCGGCCUAGGACAUCGCCCUUUCACGGCGGCAACAGGAGUUCGAAUCUCCUACAGAUCA